rfam:Stegodyphus mimosarum contig31484, whole genome shotgun sequence.
AAAAAGGCCCUUUUCAGGGUCAUACAAAUUUACUCUAAAAUCAUGG